rnacentral:misc_RNA from 1 species
AAUUGGCCGCUGGGAGCUGCAAGCCUGUAAAAGGGUGAACAGUUUUAGAUGCUAAUCAGUAUACUUCUUUACUGAAGGAACUUUUUAAGCACUAUUACCCCGGUGUAUAUUUUAUACCCUAUCUUUUUUACUUUAGUUGCCUUGGUGGGCCGUCUAGUACAGCAUCAGUUCCGGCUGAUUGUGCCCACCAGAGGACCCAAAUCCUUUUAUUAGUGAUGUCCGAGUACUACUUAAUAGUUA